GACGAACGCUGGCGGCGUGCUUAACACAUGCAAGUCGAACGAUGAAGGAGGAGCUUGCUCCUCCGGAUUAGUGGCGAACGGGUGAGUAAUACGUGAGCAAUGUGCCCUUGACUCUGGGAUAAGCGCUGGAAACGGCGUCUAAUACCGGAUACGACCACCGGAGGCAUCUCCUGGUCGUGGAAAGAACUUCGGUCAAGGAUCAGCUCACGGCCUACCAGCUAGUUGGUGAGGUAACGGCUCACCAAGGCGACGACGGGUAGCCGGCCUGAGAGGGUGACCGGCCACACUGGGACUGAGACACGGCCCAGACUCCUACGGGAGGCAGCAGUGGGGAAUAUUGCACAAUAGGCGCAAGCCUGAUGCAGCAACGCCGCGUGAGGGACGAAGGCCUUCGGGUUGUAAACCUCUUUUAGCAGGGAAGAAGCGAAAGUGACGGUACCUGCAGAAAAAGCACCGGCUAACUACGUGCCAGCAGCCGCCGCGGUAA
rnacentral:rRNA from 1 species